CAGAGCAUCAUGCCCUUCGGGGUAGAUCUCCCACCCUAUGUAUUACAUACCUUUUGUUGCUUUGGCAGGCCGCUUCGGCCACCGGCUUCGGCUGGUGCGCGCCUGCCAGAGGACCCCAAACUCUGAAUGUUAGUGUCGUCUGAGUACUAUAUAAUAGUUA
rnacentral:misc_RNA from 1 species